GAAGUAUUUUCUUUUCCUCUCUCUUUCUCUUCGCAGUCUCUUCUCUUUUUGUAGGUUGUCAGGGAACAUCAACCAACUGCCAGGUGCUGGAAGUCACCGUGAAGGAACAUUUUCAUCUGCAGAUGGAAAAAUAAACUGGCAAACAAACAGGAUCUUCCUUCAUAGAUAGAAGAAGCUCCAAGGGAAUGGACUGAAAGUUAACAUCCUUAAGUAUAAAAAAACAGAAUGCACAAGUUUUUCCUCCUUAUGCCAAUGUCAGCAGGAGCAGCAUGAUAUUUCCACUCUUCUAGCAUCUUCUGCCAUGAUUAUGUUACUGUUCCUACCUCAAAAUGGGGACAGUAACAUUCUUCAACAAAUAUUGCUAUUUUAAAUGUAGAUUGCCAUGCCAUAAUGUUGACAUAUUUGUUGAAUAUAAUCUCUUGAAUAUAAUUUGUUGAAUAAUUUCAGGUGGCUCUGGCUUGAAAAAAAGUGAACUGCUUCCUAAGUAUUCUACCAUUGUUGUUGUAAUGUUAUUUUGCACAAAUGCUUAGCAUCAGGAUAUCCUGACCCUUGGAACAAAGGGGUUAAGAACAAAGAAAACAAAUAGAUGAUAUACAGUAAUACACCACAUUCAUAUAACACAUGGUUGCAGUUCCAUGAGAAGGAUGAGCGUUAUUGUUUUAUCCUAAGUUGGUAUAAUUUUAGUUGGCUUAUUAUGACUGUUUUAUGCUGUUGUUGCUUUUUCUAUUACUGGAGUAAGUUGUGCAGUUGCAUUUAAAGUAACAGUACAUUGUUAGGAGGGGGUGAACUGUUUUAUCUGCAGGAAUAAAGACCCAGACUUCUGCCUGAUGUCCAAAAAACCCUACGCUUCUUUUUUAUUUUAAAGCUGGGACAAGAAGCAGAAGUGCCAAAGUACUGUGAAAGAAAGGCCGUCCUUGUGGUAUUUUCAGCUUGAUCGGAAACAGAAAGUAUCAGAACUCUCACAAGACCACUUACUCCGAUGUCCAGCCCAAGUUUGAGAUAAGCAUCUGAACACUGAGGUGCCUAACUAAACUAGACAUGCAACCUGAACAAUCUAAUCUUCCGAGGUCUGUCCAACACUGUAACAGACACCAACAGGACCAAGAGAAAAGUUCAUUAAACA